rnacentral:rRNA from 1 species
UCCGACGAACCGACGGAGAUCGGGCGUUCCCCUUCGGGGGACAGGGUGACAGGUGGUGCAUGGUUGUCGUCAGCUCGUGUCGUGAGAUGUUGGGUUAAGUCCCGCAACGAGCGCAACCCUCGACCUUAGUUGCCAGCAUUCAGUUGGGCACUCUAAGGUGACUGCCGGCUAAAAGUCGGAGGAAGGUGGGGAUGACGUCAAAUCAUCAUGCCCCUUAUGACCUGGGCUACACACGUGCUACAAUGGGCGGUACAAAGGGUCGCGAACCCGCGAGGGGGAGCCAAUCCCAAAAAGCCGCUCUCAGUUCGGAUUGUAGGCUGCAACUCGCCUGCAUGAAGCCGGAAUCGCUAGUAAUCGCGGAUCAGCAUGCCGCGGUGAAUACGUUCCCGGGCCUU